GUUUCCGUAGUGUAGCGGUUAUCACAUUCGCCUCACACGCGAAAGGUCCCCGGUUCGAUCCCGGGCGGAAACA
rnacentral:tRNA from 10 species